AUUGAACGCUGGCGGCAUGCUUUACACAUGCAAGUCGAACGGUAACAGGCCGCAAGGUGCUGACGAGUGGCGAACGGGUGAGUAAUGCAUCGGCACGUGCCCAGUCGUGGGGGAUAACGCAGCGACAGCUGCGCUAAUACCGCAUACGCUCUAUGGAUGAAAGCGGGGGACCGUAGGGCCGCUCGCGAUUGGAGCGGCCGAUGUCAGAUUAGGUAGUUGGUGGGGUAAAGGCUCACCAAGCCAGCGAGCUGUAGCUGGUCUGAGAGGACGACCAGCCACACUGGGACUGAGACACGGCCCAGACUCCUACGGGAGGCAGCAGUGGGGAAUUUUGGACAAUGGGCGCAAGCCUGAUCAGCAAUGCCGCGUGCAGGAAGAAGGCCUUCGGGUUGUAAACUGCUUUUGUACGGAACGAAACGGUCCUGGUUAAUACCCGGGGCUAAUGACGGUACCGUAAGAAUAAGCACCGGCUAACUACGUGCCAGCAGCCGCGGUAAGAC
rnacentral:rRNA from 1 species